UUGACCUCGGAUCAGGUAGGGAUACCCGCUGAACUUAAGCAAUCAAAUAAGCGGAGGAAAAGAAACCCAACAGGGAUUGCCUCAGUAAAAA
rnacentral:rRNA from 1 species